AUUAUUUUUUCAAAAAAAAAAAUCUGUUCUUAUCAGUUUAAUAUCUGAUACGUCCCCCAUCGGGGGACUACAUAUUAAAUGGAUUUUUCGAACAGGGAGUCGGAAAUGGGGCUUGCUCCGUCCGCUCCACGCAUCGACCCGGCAUUGCAGUACCUCCGGGAACGGUGCAACACUU
rnacentral:snRNA from 1 species